rnacentral:rRNA from 1 species
AACGAACGCUGGCGGCACGCCUAACACAUGCAAGUCGAACGAGACCUUCGGGUCUAGUGGCGCACGGGUGCGUAACGCGUGGGAACCUGCCCUUAGGUUCGGAAUAACUCCCCGAAAGGGGUGCUAAUACCGGAUAAUGUCUUCGGACCAAAGGUUUAUCGCCUUUGGAUGGGCCCGCGUUGGAUUAGCUAGUUGGUAGGGUAAAAGCCUACCAAGGCGACGAUCCAUAGCUGGUCUGAGAGGAUGAUCAGCCACACUGGGACUGAGACACGGCCCAGACUCCUACGGGAGGCAGCAGUGGGGAAUAUUGGACAAUGGGCGAAAGCCUGAUCCAGCAAUGCCGCGUGAGUGAUGAAGGCCUUAGGGUUGUAAAGCUCUUUUACCCGGGAUGAUAAUGACAGUACCGGGAGAAUAAGCUCCGGCUAACUCCGUG